CCCGCGGGCACGUGACCGCGCCCCGCCCGGGACUCGCCCGCACGGGGCGGGGGAUGGGGGUACCGCGGCGCCGGACCCGGCUGCGCGCGGACCGUUAGCUACUGCGGCCGGGACGCGGCCCCGCCCAGGCGAGCGGCGGGUGGCUCUUACCAGCGGGAACGCCAUGGGGCCGGUGUGGCCCUGCGGGGCUGACGGGCUGACCGGCCAGCCGGCGGGCGAGAGACGCGCACGCACGUGGGCACUAUUUUUGCAGCGGGCCGCGCGCAGCCCCGCACCCCGGCAGCUUAUGAAGCUCCUACGAGCCGCUCCUCGGAGCCGCCCCCCGGCCGGAUGCGGAGCACCUGUGUCGGCCCCGCCCGGGCCCUCGCCUCCGCCCCCUCGCGCCCCGCCCCUCCUAGCAGGCCGAGCCGAGGAGGGCUCCGCCGCCCACCCGGAACCCGGCGGGGACUGCCGCCGCUGCUAGCCACAGCUGCCCCCUGGGGGGCCAGAGACCUAAGCCUGAGCGCGCCAUCACCUAAGUGACCCUUGCCGAGUCACUGUCUGCCCUGGGCCUCAGUUUCCCUCUUAACGAAAGAGGGCACGAUUUACAAGCCCCUGCGAGCGGCGGCGAUCGCUUCGUCAGUAGAGCCUCGUGUCCGCGCUCCUUCUCUUCCAGUGAUCUCUCCAGGGCGAGAGCCUGCCCUGGCAUCCUUGGUCGGAACUGUAGCCCCUGGGCUCCAGGAGGCGCACUCACUUUAGACCCUCUGCUCCGUGCGCUGCAGAGGGGGCCGCGAGAGUCAGGAAGUUCCAGAAAGUUCCAAAGACAUCACUGGUCCUCUUUGGACCGGAGUUCUCCGGAGAAACCGCUUCCGGCGCUCCUGACACACUGAGAUAGAAAGUUUCACAGAAAUAGGGCAAGGGAUAGGGCGAGGGCUCCAGGGCAGGCGUCCUAGGGCACCUGGCGCAGGGGCGGACCGGAAACCCCAGGCAAACGCAGAGUCGGAGAUGGCAUUCCAGGCGGAAGAUCAAGCAAAGGCAGAGAGGGAGGACGGCACCGAGCGGCUCCCUCUGACCAGGACUGAGGAUGAUGCGACCUGAUACCGCCGGAGGGAAGCCUGGGCCCGCUGAGCAAGAUAAGAACCUGAAACCCAGAAUAGUGCCCAAGGGAGCGGGUGUCUGGAGGCCCUGUCAUAUUUCAAAACUGUCAACCAUAAGAAAAUGAAGGCAUCUUUCAAGAGACUUGGAACAGAAACUUCUGCUGCCUAAAAUCUCUCUCCCUAAACUUUCUGUUGCAGAUGAGACUGAAGCUCAAAGAAGUUAAGUAACUUGCCAAAAGACUCCCAGCUAAAAGUGUGAGAGCAAAGACUCAAACCAAGGCAGUCUUCUGGUUUCAGAGCCUGAAGUCUUAACCAGGUGAGAAUAAAACUUCCAGCAUGCUUAUGUGUGUGCUUAUCUGUGAAUGACCCCAGAGCUGACUGCAGAUGUUGAGAGAAGAGGUAACUUUGACCAAAUGCAGUCAUGACCUCAGGUGUGGGCAAGUCCUUGUUCCCUACCUGGACUUGGCUAGGCCUGCAGGUCAUACAGGAAGAACAGUCCCUCUGAAGGUGACCAUAAUCCACAGGGCAGGGUGUGGAAAGUGACAGAGGUGAAUUUAUUAAAUGACUUGGUCAAGUCCCCACAGCUGGUCACUGGCAGAAGCAGCAGAAACAAAUAGGCAGCAUUAUCUAUUCUCCCAGUCAACAAACAGCCUUUGAGCCCAGCUAUGCCUGGCACUGUCUCUGCAGUCAAGCCCCAGACUUACAAUACUGAUUUUAAGUCCAACUAUAUAAUUAGCUGGACUACAUUUUAAAUAUGUGUACUAGGGAAACAGGAGGGACCCUAUAGUCUUUUAUAUGCUCAAGUGUUCAGUGCUUCUGCAGGAGGCAGAGAGCUAAAAGAAGAGAGAAGUUUGAUGGGAGAAAAUAAUUUCCUGGUUGCAAAAGAUAAGAAAAGGAAUUCACUCAGGAACUCAAGACCACAAGGUAGACACACACAGUCUCUGCUCAAGUUUUGCCAAGCUCUGUACAGAAGAAACCAUGUUCUUUGUUUUUUCAAGUUCCUUUUAAGUGGGAUAAAAAAGUGGAUUGGGGCCAGGCGCGGUGGCUCAUGCCUGUAAUCCCAGCACUUUGGGAGGCCUAGGCAGGCAGAUCAUGAGGUCAGGAGAUCGAGACCAUCCUGGCUAACAUGGUGAAACCCCGUCUCUACUAAAAAUACACACAAAAAAUUAGCUGGGCAUGGUGGUGGGCGCCUGUGGUCCCAGCUACUUGGGAGGCUGAGGCAGGAGAAUGGCAUGAACCCAGGAGGCGGAGCUUGCAGUGAUCCGAGAUCUCACCACUGCACUACAUCCUGGGUGACAGAGCGAGACUCCAUCUCAAAAAAAAAAAAAAAAGAAAGAGUGGAUUGGCCCCACCUUUCAUCGUACACAAAAGUAAGUUAAAAAUACAAUUCUGAAAAGCUUUACUUAGAAUUUUUUCAGAAGAAAAUAUAGGAGAAUUUUUUUUUACCUCAGCCCGUGGAUGAAUUUUGUAAACUUGGAAAAAUAAGAUUGGAACAAUAAGCACAGGAUAUAAAGGAAGACAAUACAUUUGACCACACUGGAAUUAAAAACUUUGGUUUACUAAAAGAGUUUGUUUGUUUG
rnacentral:lncRNA from 1 species